AAUCUCGGAAGGUGAUUUUCUCACUGUAUCCUUUCAAAAGGCAAUUUGCAGAUGGUGCAGUUAACAAGGAAAUGCCUGGGAGAUAUCAAGAUGUCAUCUAUACAAAAUUUGGACUGGCAACCUUUCAAUAACUCAACAAGUGGCCAUACUUCAAAUGUGAGCACCUGGAUAUUUGAUAGUGUGAAUAGGAGCCUCAUGGCCAAAG